CAGCAGCCACGGGAAGACAGAGGAUGCAAGCGUUAUCCGGAAUGAUUGGGCGUAAAGGGCUCGCAGGCGGUUUCUUAAGUCUGAUGUGAAAGCCCCCGGCUCAACCGGGGAGGGUCAUUGGAAACUGGGAAACUUGAGUGCAGAAGAGGAGAGUGGAAUUCCACGUGUAGCGGUGAAAUGCGUAGAGAUGUGGAGGAACACCAGUGGCGAAGGCGACUCUCUGGUCUGUAACUGACGCUGAGGAGCGAAAGCGUGGGGAGCGAACAGGAUUAGAUACCCGGGUAGUCCCUGUCUCUUAUAC
rnacentral:rRNA from 1 species